rnacentral:rRNA from 1 species
UACGUAGGCAGCAAGCGUUGUUCGGAAUUACUGGGCGUAAAGAGUGUGUAGGCGGUGUUCCAAGUCUGGUGUGAAAUCUCCCGGCUUAACUGGGAGGGUGCAUUAGAAACUGGAAUGCUAGAGGAUGGGAGAGGUAAGCGGAAUUCCUGGUGUAGCGGUGAAAUGCGUAGAUAUCGGAAGGAACACCUGUGGCGAAAGCGGCUCACUGGACCAUUACUGACGCUGAGGCACGAAAGCUAGGGGAGCAAACAGG